AUUGAACGCUGGCGGCAGGCCUAACACAUGCAAGUCGAGCGGAGCGGCGGACGGGUGAGUAAUGCCUAGGAAUCUGCCUGGUAGUGGGGGAUAACGUCCGGAAACGGGCGCUAAUACCGCAUACUAUCAGAUGAGCCUAGGUCGGAUUAGCUAGUUGGUGGGGUAAAGGCCUACCAAGGGGACGAUCCGUCACUGGGCUGAGAGGAUGAUCAGUCACACUGGAACUGAGACACGGCCCAAACUCCUACGGGAGGCAGCAGUGGGGAAUAUUGGACAAUGGACGAAAGCCUGAUCCAGCCAUGCCGCGUGAGUGAAGAAGGUCUUCGGAUUGUAAAGCACUUUAGGUUGGGAAGCGGUACCAACAGAGUAAGCACCGGCUAACUUCGUGCCAGCAGCCGCGGUAAUAC
rnacentral:rRNA from 1 species